rnacentral:rRNA from 1 species
GGGACGGCUGAAGUAACACGUAGGAACCGUAACCCCAAAGUGAGGGAUAAGCACCAGAAAUGGUGUCUAAUACCGCAUGUGGCCCACGGGCUAAAGCUUUAUGCGCUUUGGGAACGGCCUGCGCAAGAUUAGCUUGUUGGUGAGGUAAUGGCUCACCAAGGCGACGAUCUUUAGCUGGUCUGAGAGGAUGACCAGCCAGACUGGGACUGAGACACGGCCCAG